GUUAUGACAAACUAUAUUAAAAGAAGCAAACGUGUUCAAAAUGUUAUUUCAUGAAAGUAUCCAUUCUUUCAACGCCACGUACUCUGCGUUAUACCACUG